UGUGGGUGGCGAGUGGCGGACGGGUGAGGAAUGCAUCGGAAUCUGCCUAUUUGUGGGGGAUAACGUAGGGAAACUUACGCUAAUACCGCAUACGUCCUACGGGAGAAAGUGGGGGACCUUCGGGCCUCACGCAGAUAGAUGAGCCGAUGCCGGAUUAGCUAGUUGGCGGGGUAAAGGCCCACCAAGGCGACGAUCCGUAGCUGGUCUGAGAGGAUGAUCAGCCACACUGGAACUGAGACACGGUCCAGACUCCUACGGGAGGCAGCAGUGGGGAAUAUUGGACAAUGGGCGCAAGCCUGAUCCAGCCAUGCCGCGUGUGUGAAGAAGGCCUUCGGGUUGUAAAGCACUUUUGUCCGGAAAGAAAAGCUUCGGGUUAAUAACCCGGAGUUAUGACGGUACCGGAAGAAUAAGCACCGGCUAACUUCGUGCCAGCAGCCGCGGUAAUACGAAGGGUGCAAGCGUUACUCGGAAUUACUGGGCGUAAAGCGUGCGUAGGUGGUUUGUUAAGUCUGAUGUGAAAGCCCUGGGCUCAACCUGGGAACUGCAUUGGAAACUGGCUGACUAGAGUGCG
rnacentral:rRNA from 1 species